CUACGGGCGGCUCCAGUGAGGAAUAUUGCACAAUGGGGGGAACCCUGAUGCAGCAACGCCGCGUGGAGGAUGACGCAUUUCGGUGUGUAAACUCCUUUUAUAUGUCAAGAAAAUGACGGUAGCAUAUGAAUAAGCACCGGCUAACUCCGUGCCAGCAGCCGCGGUAAUACGGAGGGUGCAAGCGUUACUCGGAAUCACUGGGCGUAAAGGACGCGUAGGCGGGUUGGAAAGUCAGGUGUGAAAUCCUACAGCUUAACUGUAGAACUGCACUUGAAACUUCUAAUCUAGAGUAUGGGAGGGGGAGAUGGAAUUAGUGGUGUAGGGGUAAUAUCCGUAGAUAUCACUAGGAAUACCCAAAGCGAAGGCGAUCUCCUGGAACAUUACUGACGCUAAGGCGUGAAAGCGUGGGGAGCAAACAGGAUUAGAUACCCCCGUAGUC
rnacentral:rRNA from 1 species